rnacentral:lncRNA from 1 species
UAUUUCUUUUCUGUCUGUAAAUGGUUAUUGUUGUUUUGUUCUUUGAGACAGGGUCUUGCUCUGUCACCAGGCUGGACUGUAGUGGCAUAAUCAUGCCUCACUGCAGCCUUGACCUCCCAGGCUCAAACUUCCGCAUUCCGAAUAGCUGGGACUACAAGUGUGCACCACCACCCCCAGCUAACUUUUUUCUUCUUUUGGAUAGAGACAGGGUCUCACUGUGUUGUCCAGACCGGUCUCUAGCUCCUGGCCUUAAGCAAUCCUCCUGCAUUAGCUUCUCAAAUUGCUGGAAUUUCAGGCAUGAGCCACCGUGCCUGGCCUGGGCUAGUCCUAUAUUCUCUAGAGUUCUCUUUACUUUGUGCUAGUCAAUCUCUCAUUAUGCUGUUCACCUGUUAUAAUGAAUAAUUCUCUGUAUUAAAUUUUACCACUUUAAACUUUUGAGUGGUUUAUGCUUCCUGAUUGGACUCUGACUAAUAUGUUAGGAAGGGUCCCAGGAGAUAAACCCACACAGAUGGGAUUUGGGCAGUGCUGAGCUCUUUGCCAGUGGGAAAUGGGAUGCUGGUGAUUUCCAGUAGGUGACCUCACAGUGACUCAAGCUACCACUUACUGUUGAUUGUGACGAAAUGCCAGCUGAGGCACAUGCCUUGGGAGCUAAGUGGUUGCUGCACUUGACCACUGUGAAGACUGGUGUGGGAAGAAGGGUCGUUUCUGAUGCACUUGAGCAGGGGUCCCCAACCCCUGAGCCAUGGAGCCGCAAGGAGCCACACAGCAGGAGGUGAGUGGUGUCGAGUGAGGGAGUGAGGAAAGCUUCGUCUGUAUUUACAGCCACUCCCCUUUGCUCACAUUCCCGCCUGAGCUCCACCUUCUCAGAUCAGCAGCAGCAUUAGAUUCUCAUAGAACGCACCCUGUUGUGAACCGUGCAUGUGAGGGAUCUAGGUUGCGCUGUCCUUAAUGAGAGUCUAAUACCUAUUGAUCUGUCACUUCCUCCCAUCACGCUCAGGUGGGACCAUCCAGUUGCAGGAAAACAAGCUUAACACGCCCACUGAUUCUACAUUAUGGUGAAUUCUAUAAUUAUUUUAUUAUAUAUUACAGUGUAAUAAUGGAAAUGAAGUGCCUAAUAAAUGUGAAUGUGCUUAAAUCUUUUGGCCCAGCUCCUACCUCCCGGCAGCCUCUCCAGGCCCAGAACUUUCUCCAGUCAGCCUCUACAGACCAAGCUCAUGACUCACAAUGGCCUAUUUAGGCCCAUACCCUACCUCACGGCAGUCUCCGCAGAUGAGCCUACUGCCUCACAACAGCCUCCACAGGCACAGCUCCAUCGUUACAAUGGCCUCUUUAGACCCAGCUCCUGCCUCCCAGCCUUCUCUCCAGGCCCUGAACUUUCUCAAGUCGACCUCACCAGGCCCAGCUCAUGCUUCUUUGCAGCCUCUCCAGGCCCAACUCCUGCAUCUUGGUGGCCCCUCCAGGCCCAGCCUGUGCCUCCCGUCGGCCUCUACAAUCCCAACAUCUGCCUCACAGCAGAUUCUUCACGCCCAGCCUCUGCCUCACAGUGGACCCUCCAGACCCAGAUGGUGUCUCACUGUGGCAUCCUCAGGCGAAGCUCCUGCCUUUCAGCAGCCUCUCCAGGCCCAGCUCCUCCUGCCUCCCAGUGGCCUCUUUCGGCCCAGCCCAGCUCAUGCCUCCCGGCGGCCUUCCCAAGCCCCGCUUUUGACUUUUGGUGGCCUCUGCAGGCCUCGACAAGGCCCAGCCUCCUGCCUCCCGAAGGCCUGCACAGGCCCAGCCUCUGCCUCACAGCGGACUCUCCACGCCCAGCUAGCUCUCGCCUCACUGCGGCCUCCCCAGUCCAAAGCUCCUGCCUUUCGGCCACUUCGGCAGGUCCAGCUACUGCCUGCCAGUGGCCUCUUUAGGCCCAGCUCAUUCCUCACAACGGCCUUUCCAGGCCCCGUUUUUCCCUUCCGGCAGCCUCUUGGCUUCUAAUUUGUUUAUCUUUUGUGUAUAAAUCCCAAAAUAUGGAAUUUUGGAAUAUUUCCACCAUUAUAUAUUUUGGUCGGUAAUUUA